GCUUAAACUCCCAAACCCUUUGUGAACCUUACCUAUCGUUGCUUCGGCGG
rnacentral:rRNA from 1 species